rnacentral:lncRNA from 1 species
AGACGAUGAACUUCAUUGAAUUUAAGGUUUUUAUGCCAGGACACUCCAGUGGUGACAUCCUGUGGAGCCAUAGAUUAAAGUAAGUACCUCACAGAAACAUCAGUAGACACCAGCAUUUGGUUAAGAAACGCGACUCGUGCACCAG